UACGUAGGGGGCAAGCGUUGUCCGGAAUCAUUGGGCGUAAAGAGCGUGUAGGCGGCCAGAUAAGUCCGCUGUGAAAUCUCGAGGCUCAACUUCGAGCUGUCGGUGGAAACUGUCUGGCUAGAGUCCGGAAGAGGAGAAUGGAAUUCCCGGUGUAGCGGUGGAAUGCGCAGAUAUCAGGAGGAACACCAAUAGCGAAGGCAGCUCGCUGGGACGGUACUGACGCUAAGGCGCGAAAGCGUGGGGAGCGAACAGG
rnacentral:rRNA from 1 species